GACGAACGCUGGCGGCGCGCUUAACACAUGCAAGUCGAGCGAGAACCUGGGCUUCGGCCCUGGGGACCGCGGCGAACGGGUGAGUAACACGUGGUUAAUCUGCCCUUCACAUCGGGAUAGCACGGGGAAACCCGGAUUAAUACCGAAUAGCCUCCGGCGCCUUCGUGCGCCGGAGAAAAGGUAGAUACGGCCUCUGGCCGAGGACGAGCCCGCGGCGGAUUAGCUUGUUGGCGGGGUAAUGGCCCACCAAGGCGACGGUCCGUAGCGGGUCUGAGAGGACGAUCAGCCACACUGGGACUGAGACACGGCCCAGACUCCUACGGGAGGCAGAAGUGGGGAAUCUUGCGCCAAUGCGGGAAACCGUGACGCAGCGACGCCGCGUGGGGGAAGAAGGCCUUCGGGUUGUAAACCUCUUUCAGGAGGGACGAAGCUACUCGGGUUAAUAGCCCAGAGGGUGACGGUACCUCCAGAAGAAGCCCCGGCUAACUACGUGCCAGCAGCCGCCGUAAAAC
rnacentral:rRNA from 1 species